AUUGAACGCUGGCGGCAGGCCUAACACAUGCAAGUCGAACGAGUGGCGGACGGGUGAGUAAUGUCUGGGCAACUGCCCGAUGGCGGGGGAUAACUACUGGAAACGGUAGCUAAUACCGCAUACCAUCGGAUGUGCCCAUAUGGGAUUAGCUAGUAGGUGGGGUAAAGGCUCAACUAGGCGACGAUCCCUAGCUGGUCUGAGAGGAUGACCAGCCACAAUGGAACUGAGCCACGGUCCAGACUCCUACGGGAGGCAGCAGUGAGGAAGAGUGCACAAUGGGCGCAAGCCUGAUGCAGACAUGCCGCGUGUAUGAAGAAGGCCUUCGGGUUGUAAAGUACUUUCAGCGGGGAGGCGUUACCCGCAGAAGAAGCACCGGCUAACUCCGUGCCAGCCGCCGCGGUAAUUC
rnacentral:rRNA from 1 species